GAUGAACGCUGGCGGCGUGCCUAAUACAUGCAAGUCGAGCGAACGGACGAGAAGCUUGCUUCUCUGAUGUUAGCGGCGGACGGGUGAGUAACACGUGGAUAACCUACCUAUAAGACUGGGAUAACUUCGGGAAACCGGAGCUAAUACCGGAUAAUAUUUUGAACCGCAUGGUUCAAAAGUGAAAGACGGUCUUGCUGUCACUUAUAGAUGGAUCCGCGCUGCAUUAGCUAGUUGGUAAGGUAACGGCUUACCAAGGCAACGAUGCAUAGCCGACCUGAGAGGGUGAUCGGCCACACUGGAACUGAGACAAGGUCCAGACUCCUAAGGGAGGCAGCAGUAGGGAAUCUUCCGCAAUGGGCGAAAGCCUGACGGAGCAACGCCGCGUGAGUGAUGAAGGUCUUCGGAUCGUAAAACUCUGUUAUUAGGGAAGAACAUAUGUGUAAGUAACUGUGCACAUCUUGACGGUACCUAAUCAGAAAGCCACGGCUAACUACGUG
rnacentral:rRNA from 1 species